rnacentral:rRNA from 1 species
AUUGAACGCUGGCGGCAGGCCUAACACAUGCAAGUCGAGCGGAUGAAGGGAGCUUGCUCCUGGAUUCAGCGGCGGACGGGUGAGUAAUGCCUAGGAAUCUGCCUGGUAGUGGGGGAUAACGUCCGGAAACGGGCGCUAAUACCGCAUACGUCCUGAGGGAGAAAGUGGGGGAUCUUCGGACCUCACGCUAUCAGAUGAGCCUAGGUCGGAUUAGCUAGGUGGUGGGGUAAAGGCCUACCAAGGCGACGAUCCGUAACUGGUCUGAGAGGAUGAUCAGUCACACUGGAACUGAGACACGGUCCAGACUCCUACGGGAGGCAGCAGUGUGGAAUAUUGGACAAUGGGCGAAAGCCUGAUCCAGCCAUGCCGAGUGUGUGAAGAAGGUCUUCGGAUUGUAAAGCACGUUAAGUUGGGAGGAAGGGCAGUAAGUUAAUACCUUGCUGUUUUGACGUUACCAACAGAAUAAGCACCGGCUAACUUCGUG